rnacentral:rRNA from 1 species
CAAGGCGAAACACUGAUAGGGACCGAUAGCGCAUAGUACUGUGAAGGAACGGUGAAAAGAACCCCGGGAGGGGAGUGAAAGAGAACCUGAAACCGUAUGUCUACAAGCAGUCGAAGCACGAUAACUGUGCGACGGCGUGCCUAUUGAAGAAUGAACCGGCGAGUUAUUUCAUCCAGCGAGGUUAAGCAGGAAAUGCGGAGCCGCAGCGAAAGCGAGUCUGAAGAGGGCGAUGAGUUGGAUGGAAUAGACCCGAAACCACAGUGAUCUACCCAUGUCCAGGUUGAAGCACAGGUAAAAAUGUGUGGAGGACCGAACCAGUGAGCGUUGAAAAGCUUUUGGAUGAGAUGUGGGUAGGGGUGAAAUGCCAAUCGAACGUGGAGAUAGCUGGUUCUCCCCGAAAUAGCUUUAGGGCUAGCCUCAUGAAGAGAGUACAGGCGGUAGAGCACUGAACAGGGUAGGGGCCUAUCCGGCUACUGAACCUAAUCAAACUACGAAUGGCUGUACUUAUGCAUGGGAGUCAGACUGCGAGUAAUAAGACCCGUAGUCAAGAGGGAAACAGCCCAGACCAACAGCUAAGGUCCCCAAUGCCGUACUAAGUGGUGAAGGAUGUGGAAUUUCGAAAACAACCAGGAUGUUGGCUCAGAAGCAGCCACCAUUAAAAGAGUGCGUAAUAGCUCACUGGUCGAGAGACUCUGCGCCGAAGAUGACCGGGGCUAAAGUACGGAACCGAAGCUUUGGCAUUGCGUAAGCAAUGGGUAGGGGAGCGUUCCUGCAUGGGAGAAGCCGUACCGGAAGGAGCGGUGGACAGGCAGGAAGAGAGAAUGCCGGUAUGAGUAUCGAAAAGGACGGUGAGAAUCCGUCCCACCGAAAGCCUAAGGGUUCCUGGGCAACGAUCGUCGACCCAGGGUAAGUCGGGACCUAAUCCGAGGCGCAGACGCGUAGGAGAUGGACAACAGGUUGAAAUUCCUGUACUGGCUCAGCUUGUUCGAGCGAAGGAGUGACGCAAGAAGUUAAGCGCGCAUGCGGUUGGAAGCGCAUGUCCAAGCAGGUAGGUGAGAUGACAGGCAAAUCCGUCAUCUCGAAAGCCGAGAUGUGAUGGGGAGCUUCUGGAGACAGAAGCGAAGGGGCUGAUACUCGAUUGCCGAGAAAAGCUUCUAGUGAGAGCUGAGGCACCCGUACCGAAACCGACACAGGUAGGCAGGAAGAGAAUUCUAAGGUGCGCGGGAAAACCCUCGUUAAGGAACUCGGCAAAAUGUAUCCGUAACUUCGGGAAAAGGAUAACCCAGAGUAGGUGAAGGGCAGGAGCGCCCGGAGCCGGAAUGGGUGGCAGAAGAGAGGCCCAAGCGACUGUUUACCACAAACACAGGCGUCUGCGAAAGGGAAACCUGAAGUAUAGAUGCUGACACCUGCCCGGUGCUGGAAGGUUAAGAGGACUUGUUAGCGAAAGCGAAGCAGAGAAUUGAAGCCCCAGUAAACGGCGGCCGUAACUAUAACGGUCCUAAGGUAGCGAAAUUCCUUGUCGGGUAAGUUCCG